rnacentral:misc_RNA from 1 species
UCCUAGCCCGGAUUGCAGCUAUUGUCUGAGCUCGUUUUUAAUAUUUCAGGGUUGCGGCGGCUCCGCCGCCGCAACCCUGAAAUAUUAAAAACAGCGAGUGCGGAAAGCCGGAAAAAGC